CCGCAGACACACGCUGCAUAAUCGCGGGCCGAUUUCGCCAGGCAAGGGCGUUUAAAUCCCUCAUAACAAAUCAUCAACAUUAUUAAAUAAACUGAAAAGAAAGUAAUACAACCGCCUUGUGUGCGCCUUGGCAAACACUGCGCGGCUUUAGGAAGAGGGGAGGGGUGUGCUUUCUGCGGGAACAGGGCUGGAACAGAAAAGGCAUUUCAAGGCACGACAUGCUCCAGCGGCACAUCUCUCAGCAAUGUGGCCCCGAUUCCACAGGGCAGGUCACUGAAAGCAGGAUGGACACUCCCUGCUUUCAUGAGACUUCCAGCGUUGAUGACUGUUAACCAGAAGAUGGAGAAGGAUGACAGACGGAGACUCACCUGUCUUUGUCUCGACUUGCACGCUCCCAUGGGAAAGCGGCCAGACCCCCUCCUCAGCGCCAC